rnacentral:rRNA from 1 species
CGAAGGGUGCAAGCGUUACUCGGAAUUACUGGGCGUAAAGCGUGCGUAGGUGGUUCGUUAAGUCUGAUGUGAAAGCCCUGGGCUCAACCUGGGAAUGGCAUUGGAUACUGGCGGUCUAGAGUGCGGUAGAGGGCAGUGGAAUUCCCGGUGUAGCAGUGAAAUGCGUAGAGAUCGGGAGGAACAUCUGUGGCGAAGGCGACUGCCUGGACCAGCACUGACACUGAGGCACGAAAGCGUGGGGAGCAAACAGGAUUAGAUACCCUGGUAGUCCACGCCCUAAACGAUGCGAACUGGAUGUUGGGUGCAACUAGGCACUCAGUAUCGAAGCUAACGCGUUAAGUUCGCCGCCUGGGGAGUACGGUCGCAAGACUG